AUGCAGUCGACGAUGAACCCACUUCGGUGGGGAUUAGUGGCGAACGGGUGAGUAACACGUGGGCAAUCUGCCCUGCACUCUGGGACAAGCCCUGGAAACGGGGUCUAAUACCGGAUACUGAUCCUCGCAGGCAUCUGCGAGGUUCGAAAGCUCCGGCGGUGCAGGAUGAGCCCGCGGCCUAUCAGCUAGUUGGUGAGGUAACGGCUCACCAAGGCGACGACGGGUAGCCGGCCUGAGAGGGCGACCGGCCACACUGGGACUGAGACACGGCCCAGACUCCUACGGGAGGCAGCAGUGGGGAAUAUUGCACAAUGGGCGAAAGCCUGAUGCAGCGACGCCGCGUGAGGGAUGACGGCCUUCGGGUUGUAAACCUCUUUCAGCAGGGAAGAAGCGAAAGUGACGGUACCUGCAGAAGAAGCGCCGGCUAACUACGUGCCAGCAGCCGCGGUAAUACGUAGGGCGCAAGCGUUGUCCGGAAUUAUUGGGCGUAAAGAGCUCGUAGGCGGCUUGUCACGUCGGUUGUGAAAGCCCGGGGCUUAACCCCGGGUCUGCAGUCGAUACGGGCAGGCUAGAGUUCGGUAGGGGAGAUCGGAAUUCCUGGUGUAGCGGUGAAAUGCGCAGAUAUCAGGAGGAACACCGGUGGCGAAGGCGGAUCUCUGGGCCGAUACUGACGCUGAGGAGCGAAAGCGUGGGGAGCGAACAGGAUUAGAUACCCUGGUAGUCCACGCCGUAAACGGUGGGCACUAGGUGUGGGCAACAUUCCACGUUGUCCGUGCCGCAGCUAACGCAUUAAGUGCCCCGCCUGGGGAGUACGGCCGCAAGGCUAAAACUCAAAGGAAUUGACGGGGGCCCGCACAAGCGGCGGAGCAUGUGGCUUAAUUCGACGCAACGCGAAGAACCUUACCAAGGCUUGACAUACACCGGAAAACCCUGGAGACAGGGUCCCCCUUGUGGUCGGUGUACAGGUGGUGCAUGGCUGUCGUCAGCUCGUGUCAUGAGAUGUUGGGUUAAGUCCCGCAACGAGCGCAACCCUUGUCCCGUGUUGCCAGCAGGCCCUUGUGGUGCUGGGGACUCACGGGAGACCGCCGGGGUCAACUCUGAAGUAAGGGGGGGGACGACGUCAAGUCAUCAUGGCCCCUUAUGUCUUGGGGCUGCCAACUGUGCUACAAUUGGCCUGUUACAAUGGAACUGCGAAACCCGCUAGUGGGGACCGAAUCUCUAAAAAGCCGGUCCCAAUUUCGCA
rnacentral:rRNA from 1 species